AUAAGAGGUCCAGCCUGCCCAGUGACACUGUUCAACGGCCGCGGUAUCCUAACCGUGCGAAGGUAGCGUAAUCACUUGUCCUUUAAAUGGGGACUAGUAUGAACGGCACCACGAGGGUUAUACUGUCUCCUUUUUCUAAUCAGUGAACCUAAUCUCCCCGUGAAGAAGCGGGGUUACAACUAUAAGACGAGAAGACCCUAUGGAGCUUUAAACAAAACAACAUUUGCUAAGUCACACACGAAUCUCAGGAGAUUAACUCUUAUUUUAGCCCUAUGAUUGUUAGUUUUAGGUUGGGGUGACCGCGGAGUAAAAAACAACCUCCACAAUGAAUAAGGCCCUCCCUUAAGCAAAAAGCCACAACUUUAUGCAUCAACAAAUUGACAUUAAUUGACCCAAUAUUUUGAUCAACGAAACAAGUUACCCUAGGGAUAACAGCGCAAUCCACUUCAAGAGCCCGUAUCGACAAGUGGGUUUACGACCUCGAUGUUGGAUCAGGG
rnacentral:rRNA from 1 species